ACACCGCCCGUCACACCAUGGGAGUGGGUUGCUCCAGAAGUAGGUAGCUUAACCUUAGGGAGGGCGCUUACCACGGAGUGAUUCAUGACUGGGGUGAAGUCGUAACAAGGUAGCCCUAGGGGAACCUGGGGCUGGAUCACCUCCUUAUACGA
rnacentral:rRNA from 1 species